UCCCAGCAUGCUGGGAGCAACAGCAGUAGGGCAGCCUUACCUCCUGCCACCGCCUCCACUGACUCCGCUCCUGGGGUCCGAUGGUGGGGAUCGGGGGCCCCAGCCUCAGAUUUCAGUGUGAAGGAGGAGGAACCAAGCUGCUAAGAUGCAGCAGAUCACGCAGGAUUUGGAGACAGGGCUUGGAGCUCUGUACAUGAAGCAACCCAGGGCAAGGAGGGGAAGCAGGAGGCAAGCGAUGCUGUGGCACUUAAGCAGCUUAGCCCUGCCUCCUUGACACUUAAGCCUGGUCUCACUUCUUCAACUAUAUGACCUGUCUCUGCCACAUUUCCAUUACUACUGGAAAAGAAAACGCAAUAUUAUAAUCCAGAAUCAUAAUCGUCCUAAGAGAAAUAAAGUUUUGGGAAGGUGUCACAAUACCACAAUAAAAUGGAUGCACAUAACUACUGGACUGUCUCACUGGACUUUUGGUGGGGAAGCAGAAUGAAGAAUUUGUACAGUUUGUGGCUGUUGUAUAAGGGAUUGUGCUCACACAAUGUUCCUAUUUAGCCUGCGUAUUAUUGACUCAUAUAUUGUCCUUACUGAAUUCUCUGCUUUCAUGUUUCAUGUUUUUUCUCCUUUAAUAGAAUACAUG